AAAUUGAAGAGUUUGAUCAUGGCUCAGAUUGAACGCUGGCGGCAGGCCUAACACAUGCAAGUCGAACGGUAACAGGAAGCAGCUUGCUGCUUCGCUGACGAGUGGCGGACGGGUGAGUAAUGUCUGGGAAACUGCCUGAUGGAGGGGGAUAACUACUGGAAACGGUAGCUAAUACCGCAUAACGUCGCAAGACCAAAGAGGGGGACCUUCGGGCCUCUUGCCAUCGGAUGUGCCCAGAUGGGAUUAGCUUGUUGGUGGGGUAACGGCUCACCAAGGCGACGAUCCCUAGCUGGUCUGAGAGGAUGACCAGCCACACUGGAACUGAGACACGGUCCAGACUCCUACGGGAGGCAGCAGUGGGGAAUAUUGCACAAUGGGCGCAAGCCUGAUGCAGCCAUGCCGCGUGUAUGAAGAAGGCCUUCGGGUUGUAAAGUACUUUCAGCGGGGAGGAAGGGAGUAAAGUUAAUACCUUUGCUCAUUGACGUUACCCGCAGAAGAAGCACCGGCUAACUCCGUGCCAGCAGCC
rnacentral:rRNA from 1 species